GCCGCUGUGGUGGAAUAGGCAGACACAAGGGACUUAAAAUCCCUCGAUGGCAACAUCGUACCGGUUCAAGUCCGGUCAGCGGCACCA
rnacentral:tRNA from 2 species